UGGAUGAGCGUGCGUUCCAUGAGUGCGUUGGGGAGGUAACGGCUCCGCAACACUACGGUGGAUAGGGGGUCUGAGAGGAUAGUCGCCCGCGUUGGUACUGAGACACGGACCAAACUCCUACGGGAGGCAGCAGUAGGGAAUAUUGGGCAAUGGACGCAAGUCUGACCCAGCCAUGCCGCGUGCAGGAAGACAGCCUUAUGGGUUGUAAACUGCUUUUGUACGGGAAGAAUCCCACCAACGUGUUGGUGGUUGACGGUACCGUAAGAAUAAGGAUCGGCUAACUCCGUGCCAGCAGCCGCGGUAAUACGGAGGAUCCAAGCGUUAUCCGGAUUUAUUGGGUUUAAAGGGUGCGUAGGCGGAAUAGUAAGUCAGUGGUGAAAGCCCUUUGCUUAACGAAGGAACUGCCAUUGAAACUACUAUUCUUGAGUACAGUUGGAGUGGGUGGAAUGUGUUAUGUAGCGGUGAAAUGCAUAGAUAUAACACAGAACGCCAAUCGUGAAGACAGCUCACUAAACUGUCACUGACGCUGAGGCACGAAAGCGUGGGGAGCGAACAGGAUUAGAUACCCUGGUAGUCCACGCCGUAAACGAUGAUUACUCGAUGUUGGUCCGUUAGGAUCAGUGUCCAAGUUAACGUAUUAAGUAAUCCAUCUGGGGAGUACGUCGGCAACGAUGAAACUCAAAGGAAUUGACGGGGGCCCGCACAAGCGGAGGAGCAUGUGGUUUAAUUCGAUGAUACGCGAGGAACCUUACCUGGGCUUAAAUGUAGGAUGACGUACCGGGAAACCGGUAUUUCUUCGGACAUCCUAUAAGGUGCUGCAUGGUUGUCGUCAGCUCGUGCCGUGAGGUGUUGGGUUAAGUCCCUUAACGAGCGCAACCCUUAUCCUUAGUUGCCAGCGGGUAAUGCCGGGGACUCUAAGGAAACUGCCUACGCAAGUAGUGAGGAAGGUGGGGAUGACGUCAAAUCAGCACGGCCCUUACGUCCAGGGCUACACACGUGCUACAAUGGCCGGUACAAAGGGUCGCUACCUCGUGAGAGGAUGCUAAUCUUUAAAACCGGUCUCAGUUCGGAUCGAAGUCUGCAACUCGACUUCGUGAAGUUGGAUUCGCUAGUAAUCGUGUAUCAGCAAUGACACGGUGAAUACGUUCCCGGGCCUUGUACACACCGCCCGUCAAGCCAUGGAAGUCAGGGGUACCUGAAGUCGAUAACCGCAAGGAGU
rnacentral:rRNA from 1 species